GAUGAAGAACGUAGCGAAAUGCGAUAAGUAAUGUGAAUUGCAGAAUUCAGUGAAUCAUCGAAUCUUUGAACGCACAUUGCGCCCCUUGGUAUUCCGGGGGGCAUGCCUGUUCGAGCGUCAUUUCAACCCUCAAGCUCUGCUUGGUAUUGGGCACCGUCCUUUGCGGGCGCGCCUCAAAGACCUCGGCGGUGGCGUCUUGCCUCAAGCGUAGUAGAAUACACCUCGCUUCGGAGCGUAAGGCGUCGCCCGCCGGACGAACCUUCUGAACUUUUCUCAAGGUUGACCUCGGAUCAGGUAGGGAUACCCGCUGAACUUGAGCAUAUCAAUAAGCGGAGGA
rnacentral:misc_RNA from 1 species